rnacentral:ncRNA from 1 species
AAAGUUUUAUUCGUGCUUAGUUACUUACUUAUUCGGAUGGUUUACAUGUACAUUUUUGUGUGAUAUGGGCUAAAUCUAAAUGGUUGGUAUUAGGUAUUCGCAGUAUUUGGCUUUAUUGAUCAAGGAGAUUUGGAAUUAGUAAUUUUGAGGUGGGACCGGCCAAAGUCGUGCCAGCUGCUGCGGUUAAACGGAGGGUUCAAGUGAGUAUUAUUAGUUGGGAGUUAUUUUGAUAUUUGGAUUUAUUAUAAAAGAUUUUUAGGUAAAAUUUUAAGUUUUGUUGAAUUCCGUUGAAAAUUAAGAGAAGCUUUGAAAUUUUAGGGUUAGACUAGGAUUAGAUACCCUAUUAUUCUGAAAUGUGAAAAUUAAAGGCUUGAGUAGUAGUAGGUAUGUCCUUGAAACUCAAAGAAUUUGGCGGUGUUUUAGUCUUACCAGAGGAAUCUGCCCCGUAAUCGAUAAUUCACGUUUUUAUUUUACUUAAGCUUGUAAUGUCAAUUUGUAUAUCGCCGUCAUAAGAUUAUCUUUAUAGAGUUGAUUUUCUUAGCUUCUAACUAAAUAUUAUGUCAGGUCAAGGUGCAGUUUAUGUUUAAGUGGGAGGUGGAUUACAAUAGAUUUAUUUAUACGAAUAUUUGAUUGAGAUAUUGAAUUGAAGGUGGAUUUGGAAGUAAUAUUUAAUGAGAAUUUGAUUACAGCUCUGUAACAUGCACAUAUCGCCCGUCACUCUCGUUGAUUAAGGUGAGAUAAGUCGUAACAUAGUAGAUGUACUGGAAAGUGUAUCUAGAAAGU